CUACGGGGGGCAGCAGUGAGGGAUUUUGCGCAAUGGGGGGAACCCUGACGCAGCAACGCCGCGUGAGUGAAGAAGGCCCUUGGGUCGUAAAGCUCUGUCAACAGGGAAGAAGUUAUGGAUUUUUAAUAGAGAUUUGUAUUGACGGUACCUGUGAAGGAAGCACCGGCUAACUCCGUGCCAGCAGCCGCGGUAAUACGGGGGGUGCAAGCGUUAUUCGGAAUUAUUGGGCGUAAAGGGCGCGCAGGCGGCCUUGUCAGUCAGAUGUGAAAGGCCAGGGCUCAACCCUGGAAGUGCAUUUGAAACAGCAAGGCUUGAGUACGGUAGAGGAAAGGGGAAUUCCUGGUGUAGGGGUGAAAUUCGUAGAUAUCAGGAGGAACACCGGUGGCGAAGGCGCCUUUCUGGACCUGUACUGACGCUGAGGCGCGAAGGCGUGGGUAGCGAACAGGAUUAGAUACCCCUGUAGUC
rnacentral:rRNA from 1 species